rnacentral:rRNA from 1 species
UACGAUUGGGACAGUAAGGGAGCUUGCUCCCGGUAGUUAGCGGCGGACGGGUGAGUAACACGUGGGUAACCUGCCUGUAAGACUGGGUAACUCCGGGAAACCGGAGCUAAUACCGGUAGUUCCUUGAACCGCAUGGUUCAAGGAUGAAAGACGGUUUCGGCUGUCACUUACAGAUGGGACCCGCGGGCGCAUUAGCUAGUUGGUGGGGGUAAUGGGCUCACCAAGGCGACGAUGCGUAGCCGACCUGAGAGGGUGAUCGGCC